UCAUCAUUAGCAGCAGCAGGAAAGACCAUGCCAUGGGGAAAUGGACAAAUGCUACCAGCUCUGGGGACUUCCAUCCAGGCUUCCUGGGGACCUGAAUCAUAGGAAUUGCAGAAAAGAUGUGGGCAUCGCCACUGCACAUCUGGCUACAGACCCAGUGGAAAGACGGACUGAGCUUCCAAGAGUCCCUUCCCCACCCCUGAUGUCACCUGGAAUGGAGCCACUGGUUCUUGGUGUGCAACUGGGAAAGAGUUCCAUUAUUAUCCUUGAUUGGUCAUAGUCCAUCUCAGCUCUCUCUGUCGCCUCAUGCCACCUCUGGACUGCUUCACAUUUGACAGCGCUUUGUGUGAGAGUCAUCUGGGAGCUGGAGUAGCUCCAAGCAGGUUCGAUGCUGCAGGAGUUAGAACUGAAGACGUAUGCUUCCAACAGGAGCCUCAAAUGCCACCAAGAGCCCCUGCUUUAACUCCAAAGUGCCGCACAGAUUUCUUGUCACACGAUGAGUGACAGGACCCCUGCCCAUUGGUCAGUGGCCACAUUUGUGAAACUGAUAAUAAAAAGUCCAUGUGGUUGGAGAGACAGCUGGGAGGUUAAAAGCCCUUGUUGCUUUUC